UGGGGAAUUUUGGACAAUGGGGGCAACCCUGAUCCAGCAAUGCCGCGUGUGUGAAGAAGGCCUUCGGGUUGUAAAGCACUUUUGUCCGGAAAGAAAACGUCGUGGUUAAUACCCGUGGCGGCUGACGGUACCGGAAGAAUAAGCACCGGCUAACUACGUGCCAGCAGCCGCGGUAAUACGUAGGGUGCAAGCGUUAAUCGGAAUUACUGGGCGUAAAGCGUGCGCAGGCGGUCCGCUAAGACAGAUGUGAAAUCCCCGGGCUUAACCUGGGAACUGCAUUUGUGACUGGCGGGCUAGAGUAUGGCAGAGGGGGGUAGAAUUCCACGUGUAGCAGUGAAAUGCGUAGAGAUGUGGAGGAAUACCGAUGGCGAAGGCAGCCCCCUGGGCCAAUACUGACGCUCAUGCACGAAAGCGUGGGGGAGCAAACAGGAUUAGAUACCCUGGUAGUCCACGCCCUAAACGAUGUCAACUAGUUGUCGGGUCUUCAUUGACUUGGUAACGUAGCUAACGCGUGAAGUUGACCGCCUGGGGAGUACGGUCGCAAGAUUAAAAC
rnacentral:rRNA from 1 species